GGCAAGAGAAACAGAAUGAAACUUUGAAGAUAUGGUCAAUAUAUGCGGAGCAGAUGAAAGAAGCUGGAGUCAAUGAGGAGAUAUGGGAGAAGAGAUUACAAAGAAUGAACUUACUGCUGUUUGUUUGAUAAAAUUAUGAAGAAAAUACAGGGGGGGGAGG